rnacentral:misc_RNA from 1 species
GAUGAAGAGCGCAGCGAAAUGCGAUAAGUAAUGUGAAUUGCAGAAUUCAGUGAAUCAUCGAAUCUUUGAACGCACAUUGCGCCCGCCAGUAUUCUGGCGGGCAUGCCUGUUCGAGCGUCAUUACAACCCUCAGGCCCCCGGGCCUGGCGUUGGGGAUCGGCGGAGCCCCCCGUGGGCACACGCCGUCCCCCAAAUACAGUGGCGGUCCCGCCGCAGCUUCCAUCGCGUAGUAGCUAACACCUCGCGACUGGAGAGCGGCGCGGCCACGCCGUAAAACACCCAACUCUUCUGAAGUUGACCUCGAAUCAGGUAGGAAUACCCGCUGAACUUAAGCAUAUCAAUAAGCGGAGGA